CGAUGAUUGAAGCAUCGCUCCGCCGGCGAGGCGCUGGGCUGCCCGUUUGCUUGCAGCGGUCACCCCAGAGAGGUGGAGCCCGGGAAGACAAGGAGCAUCAGAAAAUCCUCAGCUCCCAUCAAGGUACGGGAUUAGGCUUCACGCUACACCAAAAGAUGCGAUAUAUCGAUCCCCGAACGCACUCCUGUCAACUCC